rnacentral:rRNA from 1 species
UACAGAGGGUGCAAGCGUUGUUCGGAAUUAUUGGGCGUAAAGGGCGCGUAGGCGGUGCUGUAAGUCUGUAGUGAAAAUCUCUGGGCUCAACUCAGAGUCUGCUAUAGAAACUGCAGUGCUGGAGUGUGGGAGAGGUGAGUGGGAAAUUCCCGGUGUAGCGGUGAAAAUGCGUAGAUAUCGGGGAGGAACACCUGUGGCGAAAAGCGGCUCACUGGACCACAACUGACGCUGAGGCGCGAAAAGCUAGGGGAGCAAACAGGG